GAACUGAAGAGUUUGAUCAUGGCUCAGAUUGAACGCUGGCGGCAGGCCUAACACAUGCAAGUCGAGCGGAUGACGGGAGCUUGCUCCUUGAUUCAGCGGCGGACGGGUGAGUAAUGCCUAGGAAUCUGCCUGGUAGUGGGGGACAACGUUUCGAAAGGAACGCUAAUACCGCAUACGUCCUACGGGAGAAAGCAGGGGACCUUCGGGCCUUGCGCUAUCAGAUGAGCCUAGGUCGGAUUAGCUAGUUGGUGAGGUAAUGGCUCACCAAGGCGACGAUCCGUAACUGGUCUGAGAGGAUGAUCAGUCACACUGGAACUGAGACACGGUCCAGACUCCUACGGGAGGCAGCAGUGGGGAAUAUUGGACAAUGGGCGAAAGCCUGAUCCAGCCAUGCCGCGUGUGUGAAGAAGGUCUUCGGAUUGUAAAGCACUUUAAGUUGGGAGGAAGGGCAGUAAG
rnacentral:rRNA from 2 species